GGUAAUACGUAGGGUGCGAGCGUUAAUCGGAAUUACUGGGCGUAAAGGGUGCGCAGGCGGUUMUGUAAGUCAGAUGUGAAAUCCCCGGGCUUAACCUGGGAACUGCGUUUGAAACUACAGGACUAGAGUGUGGCAGAGGGGGGUGGAAUUCCAUGUGUAGCAGUGAAAUGCGUAGAGAUAUGGAAGAACAUCGAUGGCGAAGGCAGCCCCCUGGGUUAACACUGACGCUCAUGCACGAAAGCGUGGGGAGCAAACAGGAUUAGAUACCCUGGUAGUCCACGCCCUAAACUAUGUCAACUAGUUGUCGGGUCUUAUUAGACUUGGUAACGUAGCUAACGCGUGAAGUUGACCGCCUGGGGAGUACGGYCGCMAGAUUAAAACUCAAAGGA
rnacentral:rRNA from 1 species